rnacentral:rRNA from 1 species
UACGAAGGGGGCUAGCGUUGUUCGGAAUCACUGGGCGUAAAGCGCACGUAGGCGGAUUUUUAAGUCAGGGGUGAAAUCCCGAGGCUCAACCUCGGAACUGCCUUUGAUACUGGAGAUCUUGAGUCCGGAAGAGGUAAGUGGAACUGCGAGUGUAGAGGUGAAAUUCGUAGAUAUUCGGCGGAACACCAGUGGCGAAGGCGACUCACUGGCCCGAUACUGACGCUGAGGCGCGAAAGCGUGGGGAGCAAACAGG